GAAAUGCGAUAAGUAAUGUGAAUUGCAGAAUUCAGUGAAUCAUCGAAUCUUUGAACGCACAUUGCGCCCCCUGAUAUUCCGGGGGGCAUGCCUGUUCGAGCGUCAUUUCACCACUCAAGCCUCGCUUGGUAUUGGGCGACGCGGUCCGCCGCGCGCCUCAAAUCGACCGGCUGGGUCUUCCGUCCCCUCAGCGUUGUGGAAACUAUUCGCUAAAGGGUGCCGCGGGAGGUCACGCCGCAAAACAACCCCAUUUCUAAGGUUGACCUCGGAUCAGGUAGGGAUACCCGCUGAACUUAAGC
rnacentral:misc_RNA from 1 species